UCUAGAGAAGUUUUCCGCGUGGACCGUGUAUAAGUCUCUUGGAACAGAGCGUCAUAGAGGGUGAGAAUCCCGUCUUUGACACGGACUACCAAUGCUUUGUGAUACACUCUCAAAGAGUCGAGUUGUUUGGGAAUGCAGCUCAAAAUGGGUGGUAAAUUCCAUCUAAAGCUAAAUAUUGGCGAGAGACCGAUAGCGAACAAGUACCGUGAGGGAAAGAUGAAAAGCACUUUGGAAAGAGAGUUAAACAGUACGUGAAAUUGCUGAAAGGGAAACGCUUGAAGUCAGUCGCGUUAUCUAGAACUCAACCAGGCUUGCUUGGCGUAUUUUCUAGUUAACGGGCCAGCAUCAGUUUUGACCGCAGGAAAAAGGCCAGGGAAAUGUGGCACCCUCGGGUGUGUUAUAGUCUCUGGUCAUAUACUGUGAUUGGGACUGAGGACCGCAGCACGCGCAAGCUGUGCUUAGG
rnacentral:rRNA from 1 species